CCCCUAGAUGUUCUGGGCCGCACGCGCGCUACACUGAACAGUUCAACAAGUCUUAACCUUGGCCGAUAGGUCUGGGUAAUCUUUGAACGCUGUUCGUGAUUGGGAUAGACCUUUGCAAUUAUGGGUCUUCAACGAGGAAUUCCUAGUAAACGCAAGUCAUCAGCAUGCAUUGAUUACGUCCCUGCCCUUUGUACACACCGCCCGUCGCACCUACCGAUUGAAUGGUCCGGUGAAAUCUCGGGACGGCGGCUUGGUCGCUUGCGUCCGACUGCUGAAACUUGAUUAAACCAUAUCAUUUAGAGGAAGGUGAANUCGUAACA
rnacentral:rRNA from 1 species